UACGGAGGUUGCAAGCGUUAUCCGGAUUUAUUGGGUUUAAAGGGUGCGUAGGCGGAAUGAUAAGUCAGUGGUGAAAGCCUGCAGCUUAACUGUAGAAUUGCCAUUGAUACUGUCGUUCUUGAGUCUAGUUGAGGUGGGCGGAAUGUGUAAUGUAGCGGUGAAAUGCUUAGAUAUUACACAGAACACCAAUUGCGUAGGCAGCUCACUAAACUAUAACUGACGCUGAGGCACGAAAGCGUGGGGAGCAAACAGG
rnacentral:rRNA from 1 species